AAUUCGGUCCCACAAGCGCCGGUGAACACGCCGCUAGAGUAGAACUGGAACUGGAAUCCCCCGGCGUCGAUGGCCACGGAAACAGGCUGAUUAGCGACUGCCUUUAGCAAUGCGCCCUCGCUGCUGGCAGGAACGUCCUCGUAGCCCUUUAUCAUCACGGCACGGUUCGAUUCCGAUUUGAUAUUGCAUUUGUCGUCCGUGCCCUUGUAGGGAUAGUUCGCCUCGGUUGUGAGGCCGUGCUUCUCGACAAAUUGGAACGCGCUAUCCAUCCAGCCGCCUUCGCAUCCCUGGUCCUGGCCACCGACGUCGCAGUCGACCAGCUCUUGCUCGGAGAGAGAAAUCAACUUCCCCGUGGUUAUUCCAUUAAUUCCUUCCACAGCCGCCACGGCUGAAAAAGCCCAACAACAUCCUACAUUUUUGCAACGGAAACAGGACAAUUCAAUUAGCACAUCCUUGCAAAGUUACCAUAAGAACAUUAGGGGAUGCAAUACUGGUUCCUGAACGAUCCCAUGACUUCACUAGCAAUGGUAGGAUUGAGGAAGAAGAGGUAAAGUGAAUUAGUUCGUGAGCACACAGAAGAAUCCCAAGAUUGCACCUCAAAUUUAUAGUCCUAAAAUUUUUUGGAUCGUACAACGAAUCCGGAUGUAGAUUCAUCGACUUGCCUGCUAAUCUGUCCUGACGGGUACAUCAAAAGAAUCAGAUGAAUCGGCCUUAAGUAAGACAAGCGGUAUUCAAUCAUCAACGUGCCGGAGAGAAUGUUUUGAGAUAGACUUAGCUUAUGAGAUUCGUGUUUCAGUGCGAGGGCUGGUGAAUUGGUACUACGUGCUUCGAUUU